ensembl:misc_RNA Metazoa_SRP Metazoan signal recognition particle RNA
GCUGGGCAUGGUGGUGCGUGCCUGUAAUCCCAGCUACUGGGGAGGCUGAGGCAGGAGAAUGGCUUGAACCCAGGAGGCAGGGGUUGCAGUGAGCCGAGAUCGUGCCACUACAUUGCAGCCUGGGUGACAGAGCAAGACUCCGUCUCAA